UGUUCUGUGGCGGAGCUGGUUAACGCGCCCUGUCUAGCGAACUUAGGGAGACGUGGGUUCUAACCCCAUCACAAUCA
rfam:Aedes albopictus isolate Foshan contig107045, whole genome shotgun sequence.